rnacentral:rRNA from 1 species
AACCUACCCUUGGGACGGGAACAACCUCGGGAAACUGAGGCUAAUUCCCGAUAGGCGAGGGACGCUGGGAUGCUUCCUCGCCCAAAGCUCCGGCGCCCAGGGAUGGGACUGCGGUCUAUCAGGCUGUUGGUGGUGUAACGGACCACCAAACCUACGACGGGUACAGGCGAUGGGAGUCGGAGCCUGGAGAUGGGGACUGAGACAAGGCCCCAGGCCCUACGGGGCGCAGCAGGCGCGAAAACUCCGCAAUGCGCGAAAGCGUGACGGGGGAAUCCCAAGUGCCGUUGGUCUAUUGAUCGGCGGCUUUUCGAGAGUCUAAAUAGCUCUUGGAAUAAGGGCCGGGCAAGUCUGGUGCCAGCCGCCGCGGUAACACCAGCAGCCCAAGUGGUGGUCGCGAUUAUUGGGCCUAAAGCGCUCGUAGCCGGGCUAGCAAGUCCUUUGUGAAAUCGGGCGGCCUAACCGUUCGGCUUGCAAGGGAUACUGUUGGUCUCGAGGCCGGGAGACGUCUGAGGUACUCUGGGGGUAGCGGUGAAAUGCUCUAAUCCUUGGGGGACCA